rnacentral:rRNA from 1 species
AAACUUUACAAUGCCGGCAACGGCGAUUAGGGAACCUCGAGUGCCAGGUUACAAAUCUGGCUGUCGUGAUGCCUAAAAAGCAUUGCAUAGCAAGGGCCGGGCAAGACCGGUGCCAGCCGCCGCGGUAACACCGGCGGCUCGAGUGGUAACCGUUAUUAUUGGGUCUAAAGGGUCUGUAGCCGGCCGGGUAAGUCUCUUGGGAAAUCUGGCAGCUUAACUGUCAGGCUUUCAGGAGAUACUGCCUGGCUCGAGGCCGGGAGAGGUGAGAGGUACUUCAGGGGUAGGGGUGAAAUCUUGUAAUCCUUGAAGGACCACCAGUGGCGAAGGCGUCUCACCAGAACGGACCUGACGGCAAGGGACGAAAGCUAGGGGCACGAACCGGAUUAGAUACCCGGGUAGUCCUAGCCGUAAACGAUACUCGCUAGGUGUCGGCCACGGUGCGACCGUGGUCGGUGCCGUAGGGAAGCCGUGAAGCGAGCCACCUGGGAAGUACGGCCGCAAGGCUGAAACUUAAAGGAAUUGGCGGGGGAGCAC